rnacentral:lncRNA from 11 species
GCAAAAUCACAGUUUGGCAUUUGCUUUCUGUCUGUCUGGAGAGGAACUGUAAUCUAACACCAAACUGCCUCAGCCCAACCCAGCCCCUGCACAUCAGCAUCUGCAAAUUUCUUUAGCCUGGAAAAGGUAUACUCAGAUUUUUAUGCUUUUAGUCUCUUUAAAUGGUAAAUAGAGUAAAACUUCUAAUUUUGUGGCUGUUUUGUAGGGUUUUGCUUGAAAUAGCUUGCCUUCUUCAUUCCUUCCUCUGAAUCCUUUCCAGGUGAUUUACAUUGGUAUGUUACAGCAGUCCAAAAUUACCUGCUGGGUUAAUUCUUAACUGUAGAAGGUCUUGUGCAGAAGCAGGAAAUGGUUUCUCUACUUUGACUGUAACAUCUCCACUUUCUGGUAUCUCUCCAAAUGAGGAAGGGGGAACUGCACAUUUUGAGUUCUACAAAAAAAUGAGAGGAGAAGCUAUGGGAAAACACACAAAGGUUACAAUUGGAAGAAGAUCUCUUCUGGAUCCACCAUAACAUCCCAUGAAUCAGGUAGAGCAAUUGCACAACAAAAGCUUUGUCUGGAAGCAUCCCGGUUUGCAGCAGCUGUGAAAUAGGUUAAUACCAUGUGUUGG